rnacentral:tRNA from 1 species
GCGGGCGUUGGCUGGUGGGGGUAGCCCGGGCUUCAGCCCGGGACGGAAUGGCAGACGGUCAGAUCCAGACGUCGUUCUGGGCGGUGCGUUCGCC